UGCAGAGCUAAACACAACACUCCAGUGGGGGGUCUCUCAAGAGCAGAGUACAGAGGGGAGAAAGCACCUCCCUCAGCCUCCUGGCUGGGCCUCUUUUGAUGCAGUUCAAGCCAGGCUUGGCCUUUUGGGUUGCAAAUGUGCACUGCUGUGGCAUGUCUGGGUUUUGGUCCACCAGAAUCCCCAAGUCCUUCUCUGACAGGCUUUCUUCAAUGAGUUAUACUCCCAGUCUCGACUCAUAGCAGGAGUUACCCUGACCCCAGUGUAGUACCUUGCACUUGGAUUGUUGAAUUUAUGAUAUUCUCCUGGACCCACUUCUCAAACUUGCCUAGGUUUCUCUGGAUGGCAUGCCCUCCUUCUGUUGUGUCAAGGAGUUCUUAAAUGGAGAAUUUCAGAAUUAUUACCUGCAAAGUUCACGUUAUUGAUUGUCAGGUACAUAAAAUAAUAAAGAGAAAGGGUACAGUCAAUUUAAAAUGCAUAUUUAAACCUCUGUUCUUUGUCCAUUAGGCUGUCUUCCCAAAAUCUUUUAAAUACAAUUUUCUACCAUAUUAUAUGUAAUAUGAAAAUUAUAUUUUCUACUAUAUUUCACAUUUAAAAGCUCGUUCAGAUUUUAUUUAUACAUGCAAGUACUCCAGUUGUGUUGAUUAACAUCAAAAUAACUGAAAUUUAGUAACAACAGUAUACCUUUACCUGACAUUAAAAGGAGAAUAGGGACAGAUUGCAGCUCUUUAAUAAUACUUUUAUAUAAUGUUUUUUUUUCUGAGCAAAUUGAAUAAUAUAAUUAUUCUUAUGAUGCCAGAGGUAGUUAGACUGUAUUCUUGCAGGAUGGUGUUGGUCAGCUUGAGGUAGUUCAACAUCUUCCCUAUCUUGUCUGGUAUUAGGAUGUGUCACAUGCAAGAUUCCCACCAGGUGGCAAUAAAACCUCUUCAUUCUUUAAAGCGUUUGCAAUUAUUUUAGAUGGUAGAAAUGUAUGUUCUGUACUAAUUAGACAGGGAAAUCAUGAUUUCUAAAAAGGUGAUAGAAAAUUAUUUUUCUGAACUCUCAAGGUACGAGUGCUUACAAAAAGUCUGGGAACAGAUAGAAGUGUGCUGGGCAAUAGUUAUUGUUGUGUUCUUAACAGCUAUUUCAAGGUAAAUAAAAGUAAUAUAUUCCACUUGGUUCCUGAGAAACUGAAAUAACUUUGUCUUUUGAUGAAACUGUAGAGAGCAGAUAGUGUGAAAUGCUAAUUUACUGGUGGGAGCUUAAACCUCACAGAAGUCUCACAAUUUUAGUUCAUAUUUAGAUUGAUCAAUUCACAUCUUCAACUACAAAAGAAAUAUUCUUUUUAGACUUAAUCCAGGUGUGUUUCUAUAAGCGCUGUACAGCUGCUAUAUUCCUAUCCUGUAUUUCUAUUCCUAUCCUUUUUUAUGAAGGACAAAAGCCCUGCACACAUACAGCCUUAGUUUACUUAGUUUACUGCCACUAGCGGUGAAGUGCCAGUAGCAAAAGCUGCAUGAAGAUGCACUGAUUUGUCCCCUACUUUCUUUUGAUAGUUUCUGGCAUAUAUUUCUCGCCCCAUUCAUCCUAAUUCCUUGCAAAAAUCUCUUGCCCCUUAUUUCUUAAUGUUAAAAGAUAUUUUUCUACUUUAUGUAUUACACCACCCUUGAUUUUACCUACCCUUCCAGCCCAGGCAUGCAUGCAGAAAUAUGUCACUACAUAAUUUCUGCACCCAAGCAAGCCUUAGUAUGAUGAGUAGCACACUGAUGCAACUUUGGCCUGAAAUUUUACACACUUUCUGGUGCAAAUUUUAAUUCUGAAACAGUUAAUGUAUAAUGCAGAUUAACAAACUCAGUGUGGCAAGUUGACCCUGGCUAAAUGCCAGAGGCUGGCUACAGCCGAUUUAUCACUGCACUCAGCUGGGCAGGGGAGACAAUGGGUCCUCAUGGGUUGAGAUAAGGGCAGGGAGAGAUCACUCACCAGUUACUCUCAUAGGCAGAACAGACCCAACUAGGGGGAAAAUUAUUUUAAUUUAUUAUUCAUCAGAUGAGAGUAGGAUAAUGAAAACACCCCUCUUCUUGGGCUCAACUUUACUCACAUAUUCUCCACCUCCUCCCUGCAGUAGCACAGGGGGUCGGGGGUUGGGGGACUGCAGUCAGUUUAUCACAGGUCAUCUCUGCUGCUCCUUCCUCCUCCUCAGAAGCACUCCUCACACGCUCCCCCUGCUCCAGUGUGGAGUCCUUCCUGCAGGAGACAGUCCUCCAUGAACUUCUCCAACAUGAGUCCUUCCCAUAGGGUGCCUGGGAUCAGGACUGAAUUGCUGCCUUGACUCAAGCCACAAAUUUGCCCUUUUCUAUAGCUCUCUUUCUUUAUCUGCAAGAGCUACUUAACUGCCCUUCUGAAGGACUUCACAACUUGUUAAAUAAGGCAAAGAUUUAGCAAAAGUUACUAUUGUUCUUUAGGCAAAAUUAUAUAUUUAAAGAAAAGGCCAUCCAAGCUUGUGGACACACAAAUACUUCAGGUAUUUUUAAACCUUACAAAAUUUGUAAUAUAUUAAGUACUAGCAAAAACCCAUCUAAAAGUUAACCCCAUAUUCUUAGUUAAGCUUAGUUACUUGUACUUAUAUCUGUCCCAUUGAGAUUGCUCACAGUUAAGAACACAGAAUUUGACAUUAAAGGCUACAGUAAUAUUUUUUCCUAUGUCCUCCUCUCUCCACAAAAAAAGUCACAGAAACCCCCCAUACCAAACAGCUAUGCAAAAGAGUAUCUGGCUUUUUUGUAUGGACUAUUUGUUUCUCUCCAUUGAUUUAUAAUGCACUUGCAUCAGUCACAGGUACAGCAAGACAUACACUUCUGAGAUACACUUCCUAGAAAUACUGCUCCUGAUGAACAAAUAAAUAAUGGCUUUCAUAAAAAGGAAUACCAGCAUAUUUUCAGCAUAUGACAAAAUCUGCAGUUCCCUGUUCGCAUUUUCCUGUUUUCCCCAACAUACUAAUCAGAGGAUACCAUUAUAUUCUGUAUUGAAUUCAGAAUUCAUAGGUACAUUCCACUGAAGGAGAUAACCUAGUUUUCUGAUGGAAUUAGAAUUUAUCAACACAGCUCAAAACAAACAAAUUAUGACUUUUCCCACAUCUCACUACUGACAAUUAGACAAUUCAGUCAGUCUCCUGCUGACUUUGUUAAAAGCAAAGGAAACUAUUGAAAAAAGUCACUCUAUGAUUACAAAAACUGAGAUUCAAACCCAUUUCUCUAUUACUUGUCUCCCUAUACUACUUCAGGAUCCACUUCACUUUAAUAGAUCCAGGAAAGAUUAAAUAAAAUUACUCCUGAUAUUCAAAGACAAUCUGUUACAGUUCUUCACUGAUUCAAAUAAAUUGGGAAAAAAAACCAAACCCAAGCCACCCAAGAAUUUUACACAGUAUGUUACAUUUUAUAGAGCUAAUCUUUGAUCCAGGAUAGGUCAGUAACAGGAUGGAUCAAGAAGCCAAAGAAUGAGGAAGAAUAACUGGCUGUGUACUAGUACACAGGGGAUUACAGUAGAUUAAAAAAUUAUAAAUCAGGAAUGUCAUUCUAUUUCAGAUAAAAACAAGUGCCAUUGUGGCAUGCAGGGCAUACAGGAGGUAAUCCCUUCACUACUCAGGAUUGUAAGGCCACAGCUGCCACACUUCAAAAUCCAGGUCCAUACUUUGGAAAGAGGCAAAUCACAUGGAUAAAGUCUAGUGGAGAGCAGUGAGUCGAAAUCUACAUGGAUUUUAGGGGAAAAAAAGUGGGAAAAUUGGUCUUUUAGUCUUGGCAAGGAAGAUACUUCAAAAUAUGCAAAAUAUUUUGCAAAUAGAAUGUUUUGUAGUACUCAAAGGGGUUAGAACAGGAAGUAAUAACUUGCAGCAUAUGAGAUUUAGAUUAGAUAUUAAAACCUUACAAGACCACUGUAGCAGGCCAUAUGUACAAUCAUCAUAAGAGGGUUUUUUUAAGAGGAGGCAAUACAAACUGCUAUAAGGGAUAUCCAGGUAUUAGGAAUAAAGCUUCAGAGAACAAGAUAGUUCAGAUAUCAACAUUUCAUCCAACUUUGAGAUUUUUAUCAACAUCUCUUUAUUCUUCAGAUUACCACACUUUGAGAAUCACUCUUCUUUUAAAGAAGUUUUUAGGAGCUUCAGAACAUUGAUAAGUACUCAAUUCCAAUUGCAUGUUGCAAUAUAUCACUUUUUAAAUGUAUGAUAUUUAGAAUAUUUCCUUAUUACUUCCUACCUCUGUUAUUCUCACUAAGAUUGGUGAGAAAACCUAAAAAGCUUUUUCUCCUGCACACAGCUGAGACUACUGAUCUGACACUUACUUAGUAAGAGCCAAAUUUAGAUAUCCAAUCAGCAUAAUGCUUUGCUAACACGUUUGACAAUAUUCACAGUUAGCAAUUUGAAAGCCAGUAAUACAUCUGCCUUUUAUUUUUUGUGGUUUUGUUGACAUACUUAUGUGAAUCAUUGCAUUAAUUAAGCUUUAUUAAUAAAGAUCUGGUCUUUACAUGUGAUCAAGUUGUCAUCUGGUCUUAAGAUAAAACUUUCAAUAGCAGAGUUGGAAUAAGAAACAAAUCUUAAAGAAUCUCUUGGGGCACAGCAUAAAAAAAAAAAAGGACCAUUUAAAUUAUUGAGUUAGACUCCCUUUAGUUGUCUAACCUGGCAUUUUAGUGGAGUGAGAGGGGACAGAGAGGAUUGGGGUUUUUUUAAUUUAUGUGUUGUGGUUUCACCCCAGGCAGGUGCUUGCUCACUCCCCCCAGUCAGCAGGAUCAGGAAGUGAAUUGGAAAAGUAAAAGCUGGAAAACUGAUGAGUUGAGAUAAAGACAGAGUAAUAGAAAAAACAAAAGCCACACAUACAAGCAAAGCAAAAUGAGGAAUUAAUUCACUGCUUCCCAAGGGCAGGCAGAUGCUCACACAUCUCCAGUACAGCAGGACCCAUCAAGUAAUGGUGAUUUGGAAAGACAAAGGUAAACACCAUCACUCCAAAUAUCCCCCUUACCUACUUCUUCCCCACCCCACUUAUAUACCGACCAUGAUGUCACAUUGUUUUUAAUAUCCCAUUUGACAGUUUGGGUCACCUGUCCUGGCUGUGUCUCCUCCCAUUCACCUCUAACUUCCCUGACAGAGGGGAGGGUGAAAAAGCAGAGAAGACCUUGGCUCUGUCCUCCUAAGAUGAGCUUUGGAAAAUUGGAAAGACUGCACAGAGAGAGAAUUAAUUUGCACACAGGAUCUGCAGCCUAAAUUUAUCAUCUUGGCAGCCUUCUCUUUUUGAAGUGAAUCAUGAAUCAUCACCAAGGGAAGAGCCACAGAGGAUAAAGUCCAUGUCACAAGGUACUGUGGCUGGAGCCAGCCUUGGAGAGCCCGCAUGGAGAGUGGCCACGCUGCCUCUGGGAGCAGCACAGCCACGAGCCCCCUGGGCAGUGAGCAGCCAGCUCAUACACAGUGUGAAAUUAUCACAAACUCAGCAGUUUGGUCACCUCUAUUGCUGACUGCCCUUUCCUCCACUGUACAUCUGCUGUAUCUUCUCCCAGCCUAAUUUACUGAUACCUUCUGCUAUCAGCUUCCCACUUCUGUUUGAACCCACUAUGACAUUACUGUGGCUAGACAACAACUGAGAGCCCUUCCCAAGCUGUUGUAUGCAUUAUGUCAUUUUAUGGCAGUACUCACAACACUUUCAUAGUGUUACUGUUCAUCUGAACUUGCAAUUACAGAGUUUAAUUAAAUUUUGUUUGACACGCA